rnacentral:lncRNA from 1 species
AUCAGUAAGUGAUACAGCAACUCUGCCUACAUACAUGAUAAAGAACUUUAAUGCCAUAUGUGUGUGAUGGAAGCAAAAAAAUGAAAUAAAAAAUAUUGCAUCUGAACCAUAUUGAUACUAAAAGGGUAGGCACAAGCUUUGCUACAUUUACCACAAACGUGAUAUAGGGGGCGCGGCUUGCCUCACAUUGCAUAGUCGAAAGCUAAAUGAACAUCACAUUGACCGUCCCAAAGUUCACGUGAACGAAAAACUCUAAUCAAACUGGUUUUCCUAAGUAGAAACAUAAUUGUGCAUCCUUUCAUCAGUUCAACAGAGAUUAGAAAUGCAUAGACACUAAUGUAUACCUUUAAUUAAUCUUUAUAUUGCACGUUCUACCUAUGUGCAAAAGAACAGAUACCCCAUGAUAAAGAACACAAACCACGUGUGCAUCCACAAUUUCUAAUUAACCUUAAUUGGGGACAGUAUCCAAAAUAGUCGCAAAUUCACUUGCAAACUACCAUACACAAAAAAAAUCCAGAACUGUUUCCCACAAAUUCUAACACCUCAAGAAACAAAAAGGUAGAAGGAGAUGAAAAUGCAAGUGUUGAGAUUGUAUUCUUA